rfam:Sorex araneus cont1.189712, whole genome shotgun sequence.
GGCUGGGUCUUUUGGAGCUGAGGACUCGGGAAAUGCAGCAGCAAAGGCGAACCCUGGGCUGCUUUGAAGGCGCUGCCAUCUGAGGAGCCUUCUCCUGG